rnacentral:rRNA from 1 species
GACGAACGCUGGCGGCGUGCUUAACACAUGCAAGUCGAACGGAAAGGCCCUGCUUUUGUGGGGUGCUCGAGUGGCGAACGGGUGAGUAACACGUGAGUAACCUGCCCUUGACUUUGGGAUAACUUCAGGAAACUGGGGCUAAUACCGGAUAGGAGCUCCUGCUGCAUGGUGGGGGUUGGAAAGUUUCGGCGGUUGGGGAUGGACUCGCGGCUUAUCAGCUUGUUGGUGGGGUAGUGGCUUACCAAGGCUUUGACGGGUAGCCGGCCUGAGAGGGUGACCGGACAGCGCGGGUGAAAGAUAUGACAAAGACAUCGAGGGGAGGAAGGGGUGGGGAAGAGGGCAGAGGGGGGGGAGGCGUGAGGGAGCAGCGCGGGGGGGAGGAUGAGGGUCUUGGGGUGGUAAGCGGGUGGGGAGGGGGAGGAAGAGUGGGGGAGGGAAAGGGGAAAAGAAGCACCGGCUAGCAACGGGACAGAAUCCGAGGUACUAAACAAGAGAACACUUAUGAAC